UACGGAGGGGCAAGCGUUGUUCGGAAUUACUGGGCGUAAAGCGCACGUAGGCGGCUUUGUAAGUUAGAGGUGAAAGCCCGGGGCUCAACUCCGGAACUGCCUUAAGACUGCAUCGCUAGAAUUGUGGAGAGGUGAGUGGAAUUCCGAGUGUAGAGGUGAAAUUCGUAGAUAUUCGGAAGAACACCAGUGGCGAAGGCGACUCACUGGACACGUAUUGACGCUGAGGUGCGAAAGCGUGGGAGCAACAGGAUAGAUAC
rnacentral:rRNA from 1 species